AUGGCUCGUGAUAUUCUUGCUAUCCCCAUUACAACUGUGGCUUCCAAGUCUGCCUUUAGCACAAGUGGACGCAUACUUGAUGACUUUAGGACAUCUCUAACUCCAUUUAUGGUGCAAGCUUUAGUUUGUACGCAAGACUGGCUGAGAAGGUCAACAGAUCCGGUCGACAUCAAGGAGAACUUGGAAGAGUUAGAAGUGCUAGAAAAGAGUUGA
rnacentral:rRNA from 1 species